UACGGAGGGUGCAAACGUUGCUCGGAAUCAUUGGGCGUAAAGCGCACGUAGGCGGACUGUUAAGUCGGAUGUGAAAUCCCUCAGCUUAACUGAGGAAGUGCACUCGAAACUGGCAGUCUUGAGUAUGGAAGAGGGUCGCGGAAUUCCCGGUGUAGAGGUGAAAUUCGUAGAUAUCGGGAGGAACACCAGUGGCGAAGGCGGCGACCUGGGCCAAUACUGACGCUGAGGUGCGAAAGCGUGGGGAGCAAACAGG
rnacentral:rRNA from 1 species